GUAGUCUCGCACAGAUGCAUAUCAAUAAGCGGAGGAAAAGAAACUAACAAGGAUUCCCUUAGUAACGGCGAGUGAAGCGGGAAGAGCUCAAAUUUGAAAUCUUCAAGGUUUUACCUUGACGAAUUGUAGUUUAAAGAAGUGUUUUCUGUUGAAGUUUUGGUAAAAGUUCUUUGGAAUAGGACAUCAUAGAGGGUGAGAAUCCCGUAUUUGACCAUUAUUUUCAGCUGUGUGAUACACUUUCAAAGAGUCGGAUUGUUUGGGAAUGCAGUCCAAAAUGGGUGGUAAAUUUCAUCUAAAGCUAAAUAUUGGCGAGAGACCGAUAGCGAACAAGUACCGUGAGGGAAAGAUGAAAAGAACUUUGAAAAGAGAGUUAAACAGUACGUGAAAUUGUCAAAAGGGAAGCGUUUGACACCAGUGUUGUUUUCUCGAAAAUCAAUUAAAAAGAGUUAGAUAUUGUUGUGUAUUGACCUUAACAGCUUGCAUUUCAAUUUUCUUGCUUUUUUUAACGCACUUUUCGUUUAACAAGUCAACAUCAGUUUCUUUUGUUGUAAAAAGGUCAUUGGAAGGUGGCUUUCUUUUCGGAGAAAGUGUUUAUAGCCUUUGACUCCUGCAAUCGGAGAGACUGAGGUCUGCAGCGUAGAUCCUUCGGGGUUAGAUACAUUUGUGCUAAGUUAUAGCUUUUUAUAGACAACUUGUUGACUAUGAUUAGUCUUGUAGCUUACUCGCUUAUGCUAUUUUACCUACGCUUAGGAUGUUGAGCGCAUGUCUCUCUCU
rnacentral:rRNA from 1 species